CCUUAAGUUGUGUUAUGCAUGUUGCAUUAUCUCCAUAUAAAAUUGAAGGUACAUUGUCAUAUUUCACACCAUAUUUUUCUUGAAUGGGAUGUAUUAUGGACCCCAACCACAUGCACUCUCGGCUUGCUUCAUGAAUAGCUAUAAUCUCAGCGUGAUUCGAUGAAGUGGCUAUGAUAGACUACUUUGUUGAUCUCCAAGAUAUGGCAGUACCCCCAC
rnacentral:lncRNA from 1 species